GUUAUGGAUCUAUUUAAAGUGAUGUUCCUGCAGCUUGUUGUUAGAAAUUGCUGGAGAAGAAAGUUGCCAUCUUGCAGAGCAAUGCAUUCUAACAUUAAGCAUUUAUAUCAUGGCUGAUGGAGAAAUGGCAUGUUCAAUUUACACUCUAUUUAUAAAUGAUAAACGUCUAUACACACAUUUCCUACCUGUCUUUCAUAUCCCUAUAUCCUUCCAGUGGAAGGAACUAAAUGAGUCAUUAUGAAGACACUCAUUACUGGCUGUUUCACUUAAUGGCUCCAUGAAAAGAUGUAUCAAGGGCUACAAACUUUGUGACCAAUGAGAGAGUGGAGAAAUAAUGAGGUAAACUUGCCCAAUCUUUAGGCAGAUAAAAAUUCCAAUAAGCCACAGUAGGGGGUGAGUGAGAAAGCAUGUUUCAAUGUUCUUGUCACAUACUUGUUUAGACACUAUUGAGUGUUAUGUUUCUGUAAAACAUUUCAUCUAAUAACAGAUGUAAUAAAUGUAUUUUGACGCUUAUUUAAGAACAGUGUUUCUUCUCUUGACACUAUAAUGUAAAGAUGUAGAAUGGGAAACCCUCAGAAGAUUCAAGCUAUUUAAUUUCGGAAAUGACAUUUCUCCACAGUUCUUCCAAGAUAGCAAUUUAUGUCAAUCAUGCCGGAACCCCAUCUGCCAAUGACAAUGUCAAUGGACUUGAAUUUCCUAUUGACUUUGGGGUGAGAGGGCUAUCUCUUUGACUCUUCUGAGUGGUACCUUUCACUAUCAUAUAGAAAAGUUUACUUCCCAAGGAAUUUUCCUUGUGAUCUCAAACCUAAUCUGACCUUCCUUUUAUA
rnacentral:lncRNA from 1 species